rnacentral:rRNA from 1 species
GUAGGUGGCAAGCGUUGUCCGGAAUUAUUGGGCGUAAAGCGCGCGCAGGUGGUUCUUUAAGUCUGAUGUGAAAGCCCCCGGCUCAACCGGGGAGGGUCAUUGGAAACUGGGGAACUUGAGUGCAGGAGAGGAAAGUGGAAUUCCACGUGUAGCGGUGAAAUGCGUAGAUAUGUGGAGGAACACCAGUGGCGAAGGCGACUUUCUGGCCUGUAACUGACACUGAGGCGCGAAAGCGUGGGGAGCAAACAGGGAUUAGAUACCCUGGUAGUCCACGCCGUAAACGAUGAGUGCUAAGUGUUGGGGGGUUUCCCGCCCCUCAGUGCUGCAGCUAACGCAUUAAGCACUCCGCCGUGGGAGUACGGUCGCAAGACUG